AUGGGUUUUCGCUUACCUGGUAUUAGACGAUCAUCGUUUAGUGCAAGCCAAGCAUCUAGAAAAGAAGUGGAAGUCCCAAAAGGCUAUCUUGCCGUUUAUGUUGGAGAGAAUGCAAGGAGGUUCUUGAUUCCAGUAUCAUUCUUGGUUACUGUCAUCCAAUGGGUGGUCUUACAAUUCCCUGCAAGGAAGAUGUCUUCAUACAAACAACUUCUCGCUUGA